rnacentral:rRNA from 1 species
AGAGUUUGAUCCUGGCUCAGGACGAACGCUGGCGGCGUGCCUAACACAUGCAAGUCGAACGAGGUUGAUCUGGUGGCAACACCAGUGACUACCUAGUGGCGAACGGGUGAGUAACACGUGAGGAACCUGCCCCGAAGACCGGGAUAACCCUCCGAAAGGAGAGCUAAUACCGGAUACCCCCACCGGAUCGCAUGAUCUGGUGAGGAAAUGGAUUCCGCUUCGGGAGGGCCUCGCGGCCUAUCAGCUAGUUGGUGGGAUAACGGCCCACCAAGGCAUCGACGGGUAGCUGGUCUGAGAGGACGAUCAGCCACACUGGGACUGAGACACGGCCCAGACUCCUACGGGAGGCAGCAGUGGGGAAUCUUGCGCAAUGGGCGAAAGCCUGACGCAGCAACGCCGCGUGGGGGGAUGAAGGCUCUCGGGUUGUAAACCCCUUUCAGCAGGGACGAAUCAAGACGGUACCUGCAGAAGAAGCCCCGGCUAACUACGUGCCAGCAGCCGCGGUA